GAACAAGAAAGUAACUUGUUGGAAGUAAUACAUUUUGAUGUCUGCAUUCCAAUAAGUGUUGAGGCACACAGUGGAUAUCGUUAUGUUCUUACUUCACUCACGAUUUGAGAAAAUACAGGAGUAUUUGCUUGAUGAAUCACAAGUCUGAAAUAUUGAAAAGUUUAAGCUAUUUCAGAGUGAAGAUCGUCGUGACAAGAGGAUAAAAUGUCUACGGUAUGAUUAUCGAGAUGAAUAUCUGAGUUGCGAGUUUGGUACACAGUUAAGACAAUGUGGAAAUUGUUUCACAACUAAUGCCACCUGGAACACCGUGGUGUGACAGUAUGUCCGAACAUCAUAGACGCGCCCUAUUGGAUACGGUGCAUACUAUGAUGUCUCUAAUCGAAUUAUCACUAUCGUUUUUGGGUUAGGCAUUAGAGACAACCGCAUUCACUUAAAUAGGGCACCACGUAAUUCCGUUGAGAUGACACCAUAUGAACUAUGGUUUGGAGAAACCUAAGCUGUCAUUUCUUAAAGGUUUGGGGUUGCGAUGCUUAUGUGAAAAUGUUUCAGUAUGAUAUGCUCAAACCCAAAGCGGAUAAAUGUAUCUUCAUAGGAUACCCAAAACAGUUGGGUACAUCUCCUAUCUCAUAUCCGGAAGCAAAGUGUUUGUUUCUAGAAACGGAUCCUUUCUCGAGGAAAAGUUUCUCUCGAAAGAAUUGAGUGGGAGGAUGGUAGAAACUUAAUGAGGUUACUGAACCGUCACUUCAACCAGUGUGUAGCAGGGCGCAGGAAGUUGUUCCAGUGGCGCCUACACCAAUUGAAGUGGAAGUUGAUGAUAGUGAUCAUGAAGCUUCGGAUCAAGUUACUACAAACCUAGUAGGUCGACAAGGUCACGUACUUCUAUGGUAACCCUGUCUUGGAGGUCAUGUUGUUGGACAACAAUGAACCUACGAACUAUGGAGAAGCGAUAGUGGGCCCGGAUUCCGACAAAUGGUUGGAGGCCAUGGAAUCCGAGAGAGGAUCCAUGUAUGAAAACAAAGUGUAGACUUUGCAAGAACUACUUGAUGGUCGUAAGACUGUUAAUUACAGAUGGAUCUUUAAAAUGAAGACACACAAUGAUGGUGAAAAGUCACCAUUAAGAAAGCUCGACUUGUCGCAAAGAUGUUUCCGACAAGUUCAAGGAGUUGACUAUGAUGAGACUUUCUCACUCGUAGCGAUGAUAAAAGUCUGUUGGAAUUAUGUUAGCAGUUGCUGCAUUAUUUAUGAAAUCUUGCAGAUAGGAUGUCAAAACAUUGUUUCCUUGACGGUUUCCUUGAGGAAAGGUUGUAUGUGAUACAACGAGAAGGUUUUGUCAAUCCUAAGGAUGCUAACAGGUAUGCAUGCUCCAGCGAUCCUUGUAUGGACUGGAGCAAGCAUCUCGGAGUUGGAAUAUACGCUUUUAUAGGAUGAUCAAAGUUUUGGGUUUAUACAAGGUUUGUGAGAAACUUGUAUUUCAAAAGAAGUGAGUGGGAGCACUAUAGAAUUUCUGAUGAGUAUAUGUGGUUGACAUAUUGUUGAUCGGAAAUAAUGUAGAAUUUCUGGAAAGCGUAAAGGAUUGUUUUACAGGAGUUUUUAAAGGAAAACCGUGGUUAAGCUACUUGAACAUUGAGCAUCAAGACCUAUGGAGAUAGAUCAAAGCGCUUAAUAGAACUUUCAACGAAAUGCAUGCCUUGACAAGUUUUUGAAGGAGUUCAAAAUAGAUCGGCAAAGAAGGAGUUCUUGGUCGUGUUGUAAGGUGUGAAUUUGUGUAAGACUCAAAAUACAACCAUGACAGAAGAAAGAGAAAGGACGAAGGGCGUCCCCUAUGCCUUAGCCGUAAGCUCUAAAGUAUGCCAUGUUGUGUACCGCACCUGAAGUGUGCCUUGCCACGAGUCAGUCAAGGGGUACAAGAGUGAUCCAGGAAUGGAUCACUGGACAACGGUCAAAGUUAUCCUUAGUAACUAGUGGACUAAGGAAUUUUUCUCGAUUAUGGAGGUGGUAAAAGAGUUCGUCAUAAAGGGUUAUGUCGAUGCAAGCUUUGACACUAAUCCGGAUGACUCUGAGUAGUAAACCGGAUUCGUAUAGUGGAAGAGUCAUUUGGAAUAGUUCCAAAUGGCAUGUAGUAGUAGCAUCUAUAGAUUGAAAUAGAGAUUUGUAAAGCACACACGGAUCUGAAUGGUUCAGACCCAUUGGCUAAAACCUCUCUCACGAGCAGGACAUGAUCGAGCCCGAGAACUGUAUGGGUGUUAGAUUCAUUACAAUCACAUAAUGAUGUGGGCUAGAUUAUUGGCUCUAGUGCGCAAGUGGGAGACUGUUGGAAAAAUGCCCUAGAGGCAAUAAUAAAUUGGUUAUUAUUAUAUUUCCUUGUUCAUGAUAAUUGGUUAUUAUUAUAUUUCCUUGUUCAUGAUAAUUUUUUAUUAGCUAUGCUAGAAUUGUAUUGAAUGGAAACUAAAUACAUGUGUGGAUACAUAGACAAAACACUGUCCCUAGUGAGCCUCUAGUUGACUAGCUCGUUGAUCAAAGAUGGUCAACGUUUCCUGGUCAUAGACAUGAGAUGUCAUUUGACAAUGGGAUCACAUCAUUAGGAGAAUGAUGUGAUGGACAAGACCCAAACUAUAAACGUAGCAUAUGAUCGUGUUAGUUUAUUGCUAUUGUUUUCUGCAUGUCAAUGUAAUUGUUCCUAUGACCAUGAAAUCAUGCAACUCCCGGACACCGGAGGAAUACCUUUUGUGUAUCAAACGUCACAACUUAACUCGGUGACUAUAAAGGUGCACUACAAGUAUCUCUGAAGAUGUCUGUUGGCUUGGCAUGGAUCAAGACUGAGAUUUGUCACUACGUGUGACGGAGAAGUAUCUCGAGGCCCACUCGAUAAUACAACAUCACAAUAAGCCUUGCAAGCAAUCUGACUAAGGAGUUUGUCACGGGAUCUUGUAUUAUGGAACGACUAAAGAGACUUACCGGUAACGAGAUUGAACUAGGUAUGUAGAUACCGACGAUCCAAUCUCGGGCAAGUAACAUACCGAUGGACAAAGGGAACUUCAUACGGGAUUGAUUGAAUCCUUGACAUCGUGUAUCGACCGAUAAAUAUAUUCGUAGAAUAUGUAGGAACCAAUAUGGGCAUCAAGGUCCCGCUAUUGGUUAUUGACCAUAGAGGUGUCUUGGUCAUGUCUGCAUAAUUUCCGAACCCGCUGGGUCUGCACACUUAACGUUCGGUGAUGCUAGAGUAGUAUUGGGAUAUGUAUGUUGGUGACCGAAUGUUGUUCGGAGUCCCGUAUGAGAUCCCGGACGUCACGAGGAGCUCCGUAGUGGUCCAUAGAUAAAGAUUUAUAUAUGGGAAGUCCUAUUUUGGCUACCGGAAAAGUUUCGGGUUUUAUCGGUAUUGUACCGGGAAGCUUCUGGAAGGUUCCAGAAGGUUCCAGAGGAUUUCAGAGGAGUCCGGAAGGGUCCCUCCAUCCCUUAGGACGUGCAUGAUCUGUAAGGGGCGUCAAAGCAUUGUUGGGCGAGCCCCAAGGGCCCAUGCGGUUGGGAGGGAAGAGUCCAUAAAGGGGAAGCCACCUCCUAGGUGCCUUGGGGAGGGAGGAAACCUCCCUAGGCCCAUGCCCCCUCCUUGGAGGAGGGGCUAGGGCUGGACCCAACCCUCCUCCCAGCCUCCUAUAUAUAGUGGGGGAGAGGGAGGGGAUGAACACAUCAAUUCCCAUGCCCCGGUGGCAGCCCUACCUCUCCCAUAACUCUGUUUUCUCCUUGGAUCGGUUCCGGCAGCGUUUGGCGAAGCCCUGCUGGCACUGCUCCACCAUCAUAUCCACCAUGCCGUCGUGCUGAUUGAGAUCUCAUCUACUUCUCCUUCCUCUCUUUCUUGAUCAAGAAGGAGGAGACGUCAUCGAGCCGUACGUGUGAUGAACGUUGAGGUGACGUCCGUUCGGCACUAGAUCGGGAUGGAUCAUGACGGGAUCGCGGGACGGAUAAUGAUGAGAUCGCGGGAUGGGCUGCGAUUUGGAUCGGAAGAUGUUCCACUACAUCAAACGCGUUAUAUACGCUUCCGCUUAACGAUCUACAAGGGUAUGUAUAUUCACUCUCCCCUCUCGUAGAUGAUCAUCACCAUGGAUAGGUAUUGCGUGUGCGUAGGAAAUUUUUUAUUUCCCACGCAACGUUCCCCAACAAGCCGGUGUUGUAGCUCCCUUCCAAAUGUUGUUCCACGAUUAGGUCCUCCAAAACGUCGCCCUCUGCUUCUCUAGGCCAUCGUCCGCCUUCGCUCUCCCGGCACCCUCCUCGUCUUUCGCCACUGGCUCCUCCAUGACACCCUCCACCUCCCCUCGUCCUUGCCUUUCGCCACCUGUUGUCCAUAUCAAAUUCUCUCAUCAUCAAGCAUUAUGUUGUCUGGGACACAAAUGAGAAUCGACAAAAAUACAUUCAUGUCUUUGGCAGAUAAUGUAAAAAUUAGGUAUAUUUUCUUCUUGUUUGGGCUAUGUUUCUAUUCCUAAUUGCUCGGUGUUUUUUCACUGUACACCCUUCCAGUUGUCCUCGUCGAGUCUAUGCCACCGCCACCGCCAUGUGCCCCAGAUGCUACUCCGGUUGUCAAAGAUGAUGUCAGAGUUGUUGAUGAUAAGCGUACUUGCAUUGUGAUCUUUUUGAGGUUUCUAUCUCACCUAUUUUCAAACAUCUAUAUAGAAAUAGUCAUGCAUUGUACAUGUCCAAUGACACCUACUACUUUUCCUCUCCCUAGAGUGGUGUGGUGACUAGUUCGAAGGUUCUAGAAAGAGCUAUGCGUUAGGCGAGUGUUAGAUGGUUGCCUAGCGCCUUGCGUGCUUACAUGUCUUUUUUCUACAAAGAGUAAUAUACUAGUAUCAUACUGAUACUAAGCAUAUUGGUCGGCUCCAACAACGCAAUGUUAAGAUUAAAAACUCAAGAUGUUGAAUACAAUAUAGUAAAAGUUACUCUUGGAAUCAGGGUGAGUCCCCUGCUUCAUACCUUAGAGAUUGGAUGAUGACUUGAUUAGAAAAAAAUUCAUUCUCUAGCGCACUACCACUGAUUGGUGUCUUCACUCCAACGAGCUUAUUAUCGAGAAGGCCUAUGUAGACUUCACAAAAGUAACAUUUUCAAUUAUAUUUGUACUCCUCAAGAUUGGCUUGUGUUCCUCCUUUUUGAAAGGCUUUAUUAUGUUUGCUUUCUCUAAUAGACCCACCAUUCCUUUGGUAAAACUCUCUCAUAUUUGUUCUCAAUGCAAAGACUAGUGAGAAAUAACGGAAUUGCCAUGACAAAGAAACCACCUAUAAUACAUCCAGGAAGAACAAUUUGUUUAAGUGAGGUCGUAAAUGAACAUUUGUUCUCUACUAUGGAUAUAAAAGCAAGGCUUGAGUGAUUGAUGGAAAAACUAGCAAGUAGAGUGAAGGUGCUAACUAAUUACAUUUUGGAAAUUUCCCUAGUUUGUGAUAUGGAUCUAGUAUAGAUUAGAUGUCCCUUUUCCCCCAAUUUUUUUGUACAAGUCUAGUGAACUUUUUCCAUGUGGUGGUUCCUGGUUUGACCAAAAUGGUGUAGAUUGCUUUGCAUCCGUUUUUUCCAUACAAACAGGUUUACUAAAGAUAGCUACAUGACCAAGUGGUCAGCUUCGUAAGCUAUCAACAAAAAUUGCAAUCAAUAAAGAUGGCUACAUGAACAAAUAAGUUCUUAACAAGGAAGAGGAAUAUGAUUUAAGUUUUUGUUGUUGUUUAUUGCAUUGCCUUUUCAGUGUUUGGAUGAUAACAAUAAAUGCACAUAUUUCUUCAUUGGAUGGCUACUGUUAGUAACUGCUUAUUACAGGUUGAAGGUCAGGUGGCAAUAAUAGUGCACUCAACACAUUACCUUUAUAAUAUCCGUGUAUUUAAAAAUUAGUCACAAAUUUAAAAAAACUAAAAAAAUUCAAAUGAUGUUUGUGAAUUUCAAAAAUGGUUCCCCAAUUUAAAAAAAAUCAUAGAUUAAAAAAAUUAGUUGAUUAAAAAAAUCACAAAUUAAAAAAAUGUUCAUGCAUUUUAAAAACGUUCGUAAAAACAGAAACAUUUGUUUGUGAAUCCCAAAAAAUGUUCUCAAAUUAAUCGAUUCAUGCUGUAAAAAAAACCUCCAAUAACUCCAUCCUAUCUACCGACUUGGGCUGUGAAAACACCCCCAAAAUCCACAAAACUCAAACGGGUCUAGAAAUAACAGAGAGAGCAAGAUUCUGAAAAUAACGCCUCUCUUUUUAUAGGGGAAUAAAUAGGAUGGUCUAGGACAACUUUUGUUUUAUUAUACGUAUAAUUUUGAGAACAAGAUGCUCGAAGACAACAUAAGCAGCAAAAACGAGUGUCCGACAAAGUAUGGGCCCAGAGCCGAAUGGAGAAGCCCAGCCGCUCUGUUUUCUCAAAAAUAAGGAUAGCACCGGGCCCAACAGGCAAAAAUAACCAAAAAAAGAUAAUUAUCAGAGCCAGGUUUCGAUCCUGGGACCUGUGGGUUAUGGGCCCACCACGCUUCCGCUGCGCCACUCUGAUCUUCUUGUUCAGUAUGCAACUUUUAACUAUAUAUAUACAAAUUAAAAGUAACCAGAUGAUGUGGCAAUCCAGCAGACCGUGUACCCUCUGCUUCAACUCACAUUAACAAGCGAAGGUGAAGGAAAUUUUUGAAAUUACGGUGAAAUUUAGAUAAAUCAGGAUUACACUUGAAAGGCAAUGGAGAAUGCAAAGUCAGAAAUGUAUACCAAUAAUAAAAAAAAUUGAACCCGAUGCCUUCUCUAGAAGUUAAUUCGAGUUUCUAGUGCUGAGAACACGAGCUCUGACCGAUCUUAUAGGUUUUUGUCCAUUCGGCUUGCGUCUCGGUUCUUCGGUUUGGUAGUUCGGUCAACGGUUAACAUUUAAAACAACUAACAGAAGUCAAAUAAUGUUUGUGAAUUUUAAAAAAACAAUUUAAUAUUCAAAAACAAUUAGUUGAUUAAAACAAUGUUCAUGCAUUUCAAAAAUGUUCGUGAAAAAUCAUUUUUUGUGAAUCCCAAAAAAUGUUCUUGAAUUAAUCGAUCCAUGCUGUAAAAAAGACCUCCAAUAACUCCAUCAUAUCUAUCGACUUGGGCUGUAAAAACACCCCCAAAAUCCAGAAAACUAAAUCGGGAAUCUUAGAUGCACGGGAUGAAAAGUAAUAUACGAUGAUCUAGGACAACUUUUGUUUUAAUUAUACGUAUUUUUUCAGAACAAGAUGCUCGAAGAGAACGUAAGCAGCAAAAACGAGCGUCCGACAAAGUAUGGGCCCAGAGCGAAAUGGAGAAGCCCAGCCGAAGUCAGAAAUAUGUAUCAAUAAUAAAAAAUAAUGAACCCGAUGCCUUCUCUAGAAGUUAAUUCGAGUUUCUAGCGCUGAGAACACGAGUUUUGGCCGAUCUUAUAGGUUUUGGUCCAUUCGGCUCCAGUCUCGGUUUUUCGGUUCGGUAGUUCGGUCAACGAUUAAUAUGCCCAUCCCUACUAACAUGCAUCAUUACUUUUUUUCAUAAAUAUAUGUUUUUAUCACAUGAAUUUCCUUGUUUCCCCUUACUUUUCAAGUCUAUAUGGUUUUGACAAUUAUCUGGCUAUUAGGUUUGAUGGGCCCAACUCAGAUUUUGAAAUAUACAUAACCUAAUAAUAAUCCGAUUUAUUCAUCACAAAACUAAACUAAUCUAGUUGCAUUUUCUCAACAAGGAAAACUGAUCAAGUUGCAAGAAAUGCCUUUUUUCGAUCCAGAAUUUGAGACAAUAUAUAACCACUGAUUAACAAAAUUCGUAACAACUUUUCAAAAAGUAACACACCCAGAACCUAAACACUCUUAAAUAUCAAAUUCUGAGGGCAGGCGGCAACUGUUACUGUCACCCACACUAGUACCAAAAAUACAUAAUGUGGUUUACCUCACCACUAGCGUUGCCGAGACAAAAAGGACCAGCAUUUCUACUGCUCCGCACAUUCAAGAAACAGACCGAUGGCAUGUAUAAGAACAGACAUGCCGAACGGCACAUCAGAGGUCAACUUAUUCAUUGUUAACUAGAGCAAAUGUCUUGAAAGAUUCCGUAUGGAUGACACAAACACAACACAGGCUGGUCAGGCAAACGAGACAACGAAUCCUUCCAAGGGAGCACCUCACCACGGCUGUUCUUCAGUAAAUCUCAACAGAUGGACUAGACGACUGCGGAUCCAGCUACUACUCUCUGGCUCCAAGCCCGCCAAGAAAGACGGACCCUGCUGCAAACGGGAACUCGUACUACGCUGAAGCACCAGCCUCCUCCUCCUCUUUCCUCUUGCGGGCCCACUUCGGGCUGACCUCGAUGAGCCUGUGAGGCAUGAGCUGCUUCUCCUUCCGGGUGAGCUUCUUGUAGUUCAUGACUCUGAGUUUCGCAAUCUUGGCUUCCUCCUCGGCUGUGGCUUCUCUGACCACCACUGUCAGCCUGCACCUAGGUCUCUCCCUGACACCACACCUCCCUUUGGCAUGGUAAGCGAGCCUCUUGAGAUAAAUUCCUUUUCCCACAAAAGCCUCUUCUGCAGUGUCGUCGAGGAGGAGGGUGAUGAGAUUUAAUUUAUUGCAGACAUGGAGGUAAAUGUGAGCAGCUUUGUUGCAAUCUUACCCACAAUAAGUUUAUCUGCAUCCAGUCCAUGGUUGUGAGCUGCGUUCGCACGAGCAGAAUGGAUCACCUACAGCAAUUGAUAGGAAAAAAAUCUCAUGAAAAACAUAAAUGGUCAGUUUGGACCUAUCGCAGAAAGAAGCAGGGUUACUUGAGUAGGCAACUUUUUUUUGCUGAUUGCCAAACCUGGUACAAAGUUUUCGCAGCCCUUUUAACCGUCACUUGCAACUGUAAAAGGGCAUCUUCCACGCGCAUUCCUCGAACCAGCUUGGCUACCAGAUUCACCUUCUUGGGGCUCUAAAACAACCAGGAACAUUAAGAUCAACUGGAGAAAUAAAUAUCUCUUUGUGGCACUAGCAAAAUAUUAUUAGGCAGUACAGCAGUUCAUGGAGUUCGCUGGACAGCACAGGACUGGUUCCUCUACGUGCUCUUUAUUACAGUCUAGCCAAGUGAGACAAGAAAAUGGUUUCAAAUCAAUACAUAAACUGAGUAAUGAAUGACCAGUUCAUGAAAUCCUGGCAACGAAUAACCAGUUGAUAUAAAGUCUGCUAAGCAGCCCUAGUCUCUCCAUGUGCUUUGUAUUAACUAUCAAAGCAAAGUGAGAUACGCAAAUGUUUUCCAACCAAUAUAUAAAUUCAGUGACGAAUAACAAGUUGAUAAAGUCUGCCGCACAGCCCUAAUCUCUCCUCGUGCUGAUUAAGGCCCUGUUCGGAGCCCCUCCAGUCCACAACUCCGCUCCCGGAGAAGCCGGAGGUGCAGUUUAAAAUCACGGAACCCCUGUUCGCUCGCUCCUCAGAUCCUGAGAUUUUCGGGAGCUGGUGGAUGGACUGCCGAACAGGGUCCAAGCCCGCUACAAAGCCUUAAUCUCUCUACGUGCUCAUCAUUGCAUUCCAGCAAAGUGCGAUAAGCAAAUGUGUUACCAACCAAGGUACAAAUUUAGCGGUGGAUAGAAGCUACAAGCACGCCUUAAAUUCACAGCAAGAAACACUUGCAGCUUCCGCUAAGGAUAUGUAGUAGUGCAUAAGCAUUAUACUCUCGGCGUUAUGACUAACAGCGGGGGCUACGUAGCCGUUGCGGAUCUCAGGAUCACAUGUUCAACAACCGCAGACGGCGUGCGUAAAAAGGUUAAUGAUUUAUAAUGCUCGGUCUUUUGCUUACUCAGGCAGUUUGAUAUCUCUGAGGAACAUAACCAACAAACUACUACUGAGGUUUUGUUUACCUGCUUGAUGUCCUUCUUGAUGGCCUGGACUUUGAGCCGCUUCACCACGGCCCCCUUGUCGUCGGUCCCUUCCGCGGCACCCAACGGCGAUGACAACGGGGACGAGACGGGGACCAUGGAAUCGUCUCCGGCAAGCAGGCUCCUCGUGGUCGAUAUCCCCUGCAAAGAAACAAUCAGAUUUCAACACCGAGCAGUAGGAAACAUAGCAAUGUGGAUCGCGUAUGAGAAGCCGGGGCAGGAGAGGGGCGGUGCACCUACAGCGUUGCGGAUCAGCUGGUGGAGGGAGGAGGGGGAGGGGGCGACGGCCGCCGGGCGCAGGAUGUCGAUCAGCGCCGCCGGGGCGCGGCCGCCGCGCGGGAAGGGUGGGGCGGAGGAGAGGUGGCGGGAGAGGAGGAGGCGGGCGGAGGUGGUGGAGGCCGAGGGGGAGAGCAGCCUGCGCGCCAUGGCAGCGGCGGCGGCGGCGGCGGCCAUCGGCGGCGACGCAACCCUAGCGGGAGCUCCGGAAGGAGGAGAGAAAUGGGGAUCGAGAGCCGUGUGGCCCACAAGGGGUUUAGAGAUGGGUUUAAGUUUUUUGUUUUCUAUCUGUGGUUUGGGUUGGGCCUGAGGUCCAAUGGGCUUUCGGACAGCCCAUCCAAGCCCAUGUUGAGUUAGUCAGUUUUCUUAACACAAUACAGACGCAGAUGCUCAUACAUUCAUGAAUGCCUAUCAAUGCCCGCACACAUCCUAUCCCCAAGAACGUCUGAUACAUCAUCCCAAAAUUGACCUGAAAAUGUAAGCACGAGUGUCAAAUCUAAAACUUGAAACAUGGCGGGCCAAAGAUACCACUGUCCUUCUAAACAACCCAAAAAAGAAUGUCCUCCUAUAAACAUUCAAUCAUAGGCCGGUUCGCUCCGAGUUUGUUUAUCGUUUCGGAAUGAUUUAGCGAAACAUCUAAAAAGAUGAUCAAGGUUCGCGUGUGGUUCAAGGUUCGCGUGUGGUUGCUCCGUUUCUCUGUUGAAUGCUGCAUAUUUUUUUUGCUUUUUGUUUUCUUCUACAUGGCUUUUUUUAUUUUUAUUUUUGUUCUUUUUUCUCAGGGUUUGGUUUUGACUGGUUUUAUUUUGUUUUUAUUUUCCACUUUUUAUUUUUUAUAGUUUCUGUACUACAAACUUUACUAAUAUUUGGUGAACAGUUUUAAAAAGAUAUACUCAAAAUUUUAUUAUUAUACGUUGAACAUGUUUUUCACACACAAUGGACAUUUUUUUACAUACGAAGAACAAUUUCUAUAUGUGGUAUUUAUUAAUAUACGGUGAUGUUUCUCCUAAUACACACCAAAAUAUUUAAAAAUAUGCUCCUAAUUUUUUAAAUAUUUUUGUAUUUUUAAAAAUAGGUUUUUUAUUUAGAUCCGUUUGAAAAAUAUAGACAGUCGGUUUUUGAAUGAAAAACCCCAACUAGAACAGAAGAGAAGAAAGAACAAAACAGACCCGCGUAAGAAGUGGGUCGGACUAUUAUGGCAUGUACAAUGGUUGAUAAGAUAGUUUAUCUAAAAUCUUGCAUGUAAUUUAGAGAUGGAAAAGAAAAGAGUCUACAAUGAAUCAUCUCUUAGCCUUAUCUUUUAUAAUUAGCUAUUCCUAAAAACAAGGUGAGACAUAUUGUGCUAAAAGAUCAUCUCUUGUCUUCUCUAAAAUAAAAGAAGGCAAAAUCUUUUUUUCGAGUUCUUUCUCUCCACCUCAUCAUUUAUUCUAUGUGACGCUCCUAACAUAGCAUCACAGGUCAUAGCUUCUUCUCGUGUCUUGUCCGCUAGGCACCCACAAUAAAAACAAGAAUGGCAAUGAUAUAUAUACAUUACAAGCGCAGACAUGUAUUCACCUUUGGACCGUUGAGCUCCAGGACUACCUAUAUGACCUGGGUCACUUUCAUGUGGACCACCUUAUCAAACGGGUACCCAAUGGGUCUGUGAGGCUAUUUCCAAUCCAUAUCCCAUGAGUUUUCGGGUAUCAACGUACAAAUUUCUAACCGUUGAAUUAUGAUUGGACUUCAGGUUGUAAUUAGUGUAGAACAAGUAUGUUACUGCAAUAUGUUGUAUUCUAAGCCGCUUAUAUAUCAUAUGAGCGCCACACAUUAUACAUAGAGAAUAGAAAAUAAAUUAAUUAGCUGGGUUUUAGUGAGAGGGGAGGCUAAAUAGAUGUGUGUGUUAAUUUGAAGUUUGAGUUAUCCCUAACACAAUAACUUAAGUAGAAAGAGAUCAAUAGACAAAUGUUAUGGGCUAAACUUGAAGAUUUGCUUUGCAAUCAGGGAGAUGGGAUAUUGUAAAAUUUAUAUGUUAUAUAUACAUAAACCGCCAAACAUAAACAUAAUUAUCUAAAACGCAAUUGCUUGGUUCAAUCAAAGCGUCUUAAUGAUAAAACACUCUCAAAACAAGCAAUCAACCAACACUGCAUGCAUUGUGCAAAUUUACAAUCUCAAAACAAGGGAUCCAAAAGUUAGUCAAUCGUGCACACAAAGUACCGAUUGAAUCUUGAACAAGAACAAGGAUGGCAUGAACAUUUACUAAAGAUAAAACCAAUGGAACUCCAAACAAAUAUAAGGUUUUAGUAUUUUCCUCUGACUACUAAGAUGUUUCAGUAUUCUGUUCGACUCAGUCUCAGCCUCUCAGGCCUAGAAGCGUGUACAUUCAUACAAGAGCAAACCGUCUCAGUAAUUAUGGAUGCCUAGCUACAUGAAUGGUACUCCUGCUUCGUGGAAAUUCUUGAGGGUAACCAAUGGGUGGCCACCCAUGGGUGCUCAGUCAAUACAAUGGGCAAGCGGUGGUCCAUAUGCCUAGACAUGCAUAUAUGCAACCAAUUUUGCACCAGCCGCACAAAACCCAUGAAGCUCUUGUGGCCUCAAGCGGCCUUCGUGCACCAUCUCCUAUUUUAGGCAUCAGCCACCUUCAUAAGCCUCCACAUGAAGCAUCUCAUUGGAAGCGACAACAUCUCUCUCAAAUCAUCCCUCGCCCACUUGGUAGGACAACCGGUGGUGUGCAUUCAUCGAUGGGCAUCGUGUCACUCAUGAUAUUGGCCGACUGGCCUCGGUGAAGGUUGCUUCCAUCACGACAAACUUGUUAGCGGUUGCACUGACCAUUGUUUCCAUCAUGGUAGCAAUCACAUUGGUUUCGACGGCGAGCGCCACCAAGAAGUCCAUUGAUGCCAUGAACUCCUCUGUCCAAAGGGGCCUUGGAAAGAUGUCGUGGUCAAGGAGGAUGUCAAUAAGGCUGUUGGGGACGAGAAGAAAGUGGCCACAAUUACCACCGCCUACAGCCCGUUGAUGCAACCAGUGUCAUCACCCUCGCUCACAAGUUUGUCAUGAUGGAUAAAACCUUUCAACGGGCAGCUCGGCCAAUAGCAUGAGUGUCACCCCUUCCACGAAUGCACACCAUCACAAUUGCAACAAGGAUUAGCUUGGUAUAUGGGUGAAUAUUUCUCCGUGGAAAUGUAGAAAAUGGCAGAUCCUAUAUAAGUAAGUAGUUGAUGCACAAUACCUCUAUUCUUUUAAAACACACACAAUCAUAUAUAUCACCUCAUUAAUUACUUUAUUUUUUCUAUUAUUUAGUUGCAUGCUUCACUUUAGUAUUUUUUCUAUCCAUAGAAUCCAACCACAUCAAUAAGUAAUGCUUAUUCGUCACACCAUUAUCACCAUCAUAGUUAACUCUCACAAUUUAUACAUGUUGUUCCUAUCUAUCCAACUCAUCCACAUCAAUAAGUCAUGCACAUUUUUCACAUCAUCAACAUGCAACCACAACAUAUUUAGUUUUCAUAAUUUAUACAUUUUCCCUAUACAUGCAACUCAUCCACCAUAAUAAUAAGUCAUACAUGUUUGCCAUGUCAUCAACUUGUCAUCUCUCAUGCUUAAUCCUCAUAACUUAUCUACAUCAUUAUCCUACCAAUUUUAGCAUGUGUUACCACUACAAUGAGAGAGUUAACUUUUUUUUUUUUGCAGGAAAAGAGAGAGUUAUCUUCGAUUCUAGUAUACCCAAAUAGUUGCUUCUCACUACUUUUAUUUUUCUCAAUAUGCACAUGUGCCACCUUAUCACACAUGUCACCUCAUUAAUUACUAUUGUCUUCCUAUUUUUUUCGGUUGCAUAAUCCAGCUUACUAUCAGGGGCAGACCGAGAAGGAAAAUGAAUCGGUGUCCCUGUUUUAAAGAAGACACAUUUUCCAUCUAAUGAUAGGAUGUCACACACUACACUAUAUACAUGAAAAUUACCAAGGAAAAGAAAGAUAUCAGAUAGAUAAAAUGUAACCUGGAGAUACGGAAAUGCAAUUCGGCUCCCAAGAGCACGUGCUCCUGCCCAUGAAAAAUGAUUUUUGAAAUGUCAAAAAAAAUCGCAGCAAUUUUUUAUGUGUUCUUUGUCACAUCCAAAUACUACCUUAAAAGUUUUAGGCAAAAAGGUUAAACAUUCUGGCCUGUGCAAAACCUGGAUCUUGCUUUCCAAACUUCGAAGAGAAAAAAAUCCUCACACUUAAACAUAAUUUUGUAAAAAAAUCUUUCAGUUAGUUCAAGCAUCUUAAUCACAAGACACUCUGCCAUGAAUCCACACAACUACCCCGCAAAAAAAAAAAGAAUCCACACAACCAACCAACACUGCAUGCAUUUUGCAAAUUUACAAUCUCAAGAUAAUAGAUCACAAGUUAGUCAGCCAUGUACACAAUAGUACCAAUCGAAUCUUGAACAAGAACAAGAAUGACAUAUGUAUUCCUAAAAGAUAAAAUCAAUGGAAUUCCAAUCAGAUAGAACAAAUGUAAUAAUUACAGAGGUUUAGUGGUUGUCUGGUUCCAGUACGUCCUAGCAAUGCCACACUUCACCACAUAUUUUUUUGUCAAACCUGACUAAGGUUAGUUCCAUAAAUUGGAGCCACAAGUUGUCAAGUUUAAGAGAAUCUUGACACACUUUUUGAGCGUAUGCAACAUGGGCUCUUAGCGUGGCAAAAAAACAUCUUGCCUGGGAUGGGUCUUAAACCAAAAUUCAUCUAAGUUGGUCAAACUUUUCUAACCUCAGGUGUGACAACUUUAAACGAAUUUAGUCUCAAACCAAACAGCCUCUUAGUGUUUUCCUCUGGCUACUACGACGUUAAUUUUAGUUUGACUUAAUCUCAGACCUGAAAACAUGUACAUUCAGACAAGAGCAAAACUGCCUACUGCUUUCCAGGAAUUCUUGAGAGAAUCUAAUCUGUGGCCACUUUUGGGUGCUCAAUCAAUACGGCCCAUACGCCUAGACACACAUGCAUGGAAACAAUUUUUUGCAUCCACCACACAACGCCCGUGAAGCUCUCGUGGCCUCACACCGUCUUCAUACACCAUCUGCUGUCUAAAACAUCUCAUUGCAUCCUUGCCAGCGGUUGUGCUGAUCCUUGCUGCCGCGGAAGCAGUCAUCGCCGCCAUGCCCGGUGAUAAUAAGUUUGCCGUCUGGAAGAAGCCCUUCAACGAGGACCCUCUCGUUCCGCAGCACGGGUGGCACCCGAUCCAUCCAUGAAUGCACACCACCGGGAUGGCACACAAGAAAAAAAGGGAGAACCAUGAAUAUAUAUCUUGGCAGAACAGAAAGAAGAAUUGCGAAUAUGUCAGUACACUCAAGAAUGCCGACGAACAAGGUAUGUAGUGAUGCACAACCCGGACUACUGCUACUGCAUCAUUCAGUACGGGUUACUAUAUACUCCCUCCGUUCCAAAAUAACUGUCUCAACUUUACGCUAGGUCUAAUACAAAGUUGUACUAAGCUUAAGACACUUAUUUUGGGACGGAGGGAGUAUUAUGCAGUAUAUAACUAUAUAUAUGCAGGUAUAUUCCGCAUUAGCAUUAUAUGAAAUUCAGGUUAAUCAAACGGAGGCAAGAGAUUCAGCCCUCAAGCAUGCAUCUUUCUUGCCACCCACUUGUCCAUUCAUUCAGCCUUAUAUUUUUACGUGCUGAACGAGCAUAUAUACGCGAACCGCAUCCAAAUAUAGUUCCAUCUGAACCUGAUUAGUCGAUGGUGACAGAUUGUACGAUAACAUCUAGAUGAGACAGGGGUGAAGGGCUAAUUUAGCACAGAAAUUGGCUUUUGUUUGUUUGCUGCACAAGCACAUGAAAUCUGCGAACAUGUACAGGCGUGAAUUUUCCUUCUGAAAUUCUAUAGUGGCAAAAAAAAAAAAAAGUGUUGUACAUAUCUCAAAGUACCCCGUUUCUGAUCAAAAUCCGAACUGGGCCUAUAACCAAGAUUGUUGAGUUAUACACUACUUUUUGAAAUAAACAGCAGUGGUCCAUAGAGAGAAAAUAAUGGUUACCAUAAACAUAAUACCUGUUCUGAUGUAUUUCAGCACACAAACUUGCACCAGCCCCGCUUUGCACGCAGUUGCGGCUCAUCUACGGAACGAAACAGACGCCGAAGGCGGGAUCAGGGAACAGCUUCAUACACAGGGCCUCCCCUACAUACAUUGCAAUAGAAGAAAGAGCACAACCAUUCAAAGAGAAGUUCAGUAUUACACCUUGAUAUUGAUGCAGGUAGAAAGAGACCAAGGAGAUCAGGGAGAAGGCGUCGCCUUCAGGUUUGCGAUGAAGAUGGCGACUCAUCACCGCCGACUGCCCGGCAAUGAUGAAGAUCGCUACCAGGAUGGUCAAUCAUCAUCAGCCAGAUGUUGGCCCGAACCUGAAAUGCACUGUACCAUCAUUCACCAGACCAAAAAAUAGCAUCUUCCAUAGGCAAAUCUGGCACAGAGGUAAGGCCAAGGAACAGGGGAUCUGCAGAGAUGCACUACACCUGACUGACUGGUGCUAAUCACCAUUAUGCAAUCUGGUUCAGUAGUAUUAUAUAUAUAUAUAUCAUAUAUAUAUAUAUGCAGGUACAAUCCGAAAAGACAAGGUUUCUCGAGAUUCUCGAGCCAAUUCUCUCAUGAGAUUGACAGUCAGAAAGAAAGGACCAUGAGUCGACAAGGGCGCUGUAUGUAAUGUUGGUUGAUACAUAACAUCAUCAUGUACUCUACAUGCACCUAAAACCUAUACAUUCAUCAUCGUCGUCGUCGUCGUCGUCAUCAACAUCUCCGUCAUCCGAGUAAAGGAGUCAAGGCUGUCAUGUCAUCCACCAAGAGAAGACAUGGAGACGAGGAGGACCGAGGCAAGUCAUCAGCUAAGCUAGACAAAUGUGGAGUUUGGAGGGGUGAUGCCCAUCGUCUUGUAGUAGGCCUUCUCGGCCUCCGCCAUCCUCGUCUUGAACAUGCCCCACUCCUUCCGGCACCGCGCCCUCACCCCUUCCCACGCCGGCUUCCCGCGCUCCGCCUUGCCCUGCCAAAUUCAUCACACAUACAAAUCAGCAGGUUGGCCUCAUGCAUGCCGUGGUACCUGACACGCAAAGAAGUAUAUGUAGCGAAUAAUUACCUGGUUCCCAAGAGAAGGAACCACCUGGUGAACGAUCCACUGGGAAUCGACGACUCCGAUCUUCUCAUGAGCAGGCUGUGAACGAGGAGGAGCACAAUGAGAUUCAGCAAAGAUAUGCUGGUGAAAUUUCAUGACGAAUUUUAAAUAGAGAUAAAUAUACCUCCACGCAUUUCCUGAGCGCGAAGUCAAGACCCCAUCCAUGAACCAAAUCAUUCUGCAUUCAGGAGAGGCACCAAUAAUAAGUAAAGACGGAGCAAUUCCAUAUAGGACGGCAGGCACUAGCCAUAGCCGGUAAGGUAUACUGACCUGAAUCAUAUGCCAUACGCAUCGCCAUGCCUCCCUUGAGAAGACUGGAGCCAUUAUUUCAACAAACCUGUUUUUUUUACAGCAAAAGAUAAAUCAAAGUAAUUAGCAACAGAGACGCGCCAGUUAGAUCUCUCUGUUAAUAGUAUAGAUGUGGAUAGAACUCAGCAAAGAGGAUAAUAAGCACAUACGCAGCACAAGGUGGAAGAUGAGGGUUAGCACACCAGCCUGGCCUUUCCUCUGUCUCCCUGCACCAACACAAGUUGCCAGCUCAAGUUACUACGUACAUCAGAACAAGAAAUCUAUUUCUUUGCUUCCUUUCAGAUUGUAACUGCACCACUCACUUGUGGACCUCUCGGUCACCUCUUCUUUUGGUCAUCUGCCAAGUUAGUCCUCGGUCAGGUUCUAAGCCGGGCUGGGAGAUAUCCAGACCAUUUUUCUUAACAAGUUUGAGGUACCUGUAAUCCAGCACCAAUAUGUAUAUGUCAGUUCUCAUAUCAAGAAAUAAUUAUCGGGAGAACUGAAGAGUGGAAGCAUACUCCUCUGCGUUGAAAUGAUCCACCCCAAGGUCUUCAUCCCAGAUGAAUAUGUAUUCGUAGGCCGCCACAAUGUCAGGGUGCAAGAAUCUUUUGGCAUACCACCUAGAGGUAUGUGCAUAAAAAGGCGUUAGAAGAAGAUUGAUUUCAAACUGAAACGAUCGGAUGAAUAGCCAGUACAUUACAGCACAGGAGCGCACCAUUUAGUUUGUUUACUGACACUAACAUGGAUGGCUCGCUUUGACCACUCAAAUUCGUCCCAUUCGGUCACACGCCCAUCAUAGUGGAAUAACAGGAUAGCAAAAUUGUCAGAAAACUGCAACAAGUGGGAAAAAAUCAGGAUGGUAAUCAAGUGAAACGGCAUGCAUACAUAAGAAAAUCCAGUUUCGCCGGAACUGCGUAGAGUUAAAAUUUUACUCGUUCUGCUGAUUAAAGUUGCCAACAGCAUUACCUUCUUCACUGCUCUGUUUAUGUUUUCUUUCUGCGCAUAUCCAACAGUGAAAGUCACAAGGUACUUUGGUUUGAAUGGCAGGUCCUGCAUAUUUGAGAUCAAAUGUCAGCACAGCAAGCACCAGACGGUAGAAGGGUACAGAAUUUAGGACUUCUGAUUUCAAUUAGUUCAAGACAUAACAUGUGAGUUCUGAGGUACCAAGUUUCUAAUUUAAUAACAAUGGAGAUGAACAGGAAGAGCCACAUAAUAUAACAUUAAUCUCAAUCUCGAUAAUGCAUAAUGUUUUGAUCUUGAAGAAGGAACCAGCUUAAAGAUAAGGCACACAUGCUUGUCAAUCUGAAUAUUUGACAAAGAGAUAGGAAUUUAAGGCAUUUCUCAAGAUGUUCAGUUAUAAAGCAGUUCCAUUGAACUGAAUAUCAGUUGGGUGAUGCGAGUAUUCUGCACAAGAAAAUGUACCUCACUUGGGUCUCCCCACAACCUGCGCAGAUGGAAGUCGGUAUCUGGCACAACAAUGCCUGGUGCUAGCCUCUCUGCACCCUUGGGGUUUGUUGGGACAUAAAUCUAGGAUUCAUAAGCAAAUAUUUUGUUUUAGUGAACAAGAUCUAGUAGAGGUAAACAUCGAUCAGGAAUGGAUGUAAUCAAUAUAAUUGGUUAAUCUAUGCACACUUUUGAUUAUUCAAGAAGAAAUUUUUGCCAAAUGUACACCACAUCAGAUACUUUACUACUAUGCUUUCAAAAAUACUUUACUACUAAACUACAUGCUGUCACUCUGUCAAAAUUAACGAGUCAUAGAACAAACCUUUAAAGUAGUGUUUGUAUUUGGUUCCGAAGUGUUCUCCCUUGCAUUUCUGACAGAAUCCCAGGCAUGAUUAAGUAAAGCUUGGGUCGAGAGCCCAGAGUUCCUCUCCUCUAUGUAUGAGACAAAGCUGGAAGGGAAGUGUAGCUGGCACAUUCCAAACACAAAUAAGUUACCCUGUUCCGAUGAACCAAAACAAUGUGGUUACACUGAUAAGAAAAACCCAUCAUCAUACCUUUGUUAUGCUCACCGAUGGAAAUGAGAUUCCAAUGAAGAAGCCAAGGACCACCCCAAUAACCGUUACCAUAACAAUCCUCAUGGUUUCGUUCGUAAAUCUAAACACGCUGCAAGCAUUGACAUGCCACACAAAGAGCAAACGGGGAAAUAUUAACUGCAGGGGUAGCGUGCAGCCAAUUCGAAUCAGAAGUAGAGGGUGAAAAAGGCACACACCUGCGACUGACAGCUGCGAGUUUCGCCAUGAUCCAGUAUAGGAAUGCAACCACAGGGGUGAGUGGACACUUGCGAGCGAGCACUGCUACUCAUCGUCCAAAGAGAUCAUGCUGAUGGAGUUGUUCCGCAUCAGCAUACGCAAAACAAAAGGGGGGCCUGGAGGAAACAGCGGCAAACCCAUGGUGAGAGACCCUGAGAAGUACAAGCAAGUGACAUUGCGUAUUUGCAUGACUUAUGCGUGCAUGACGAACUGAUGACCAACCAGAACAUAUUCUUUUCUUUUUUCCAACAAGGUUGACAGCCAGAACAUAUUCUAGUGACCCACAAGACACUGACAGCUUACAAUUGUAACCGUUGAACACCUCAAAAGCAUGAAACAAUGCAAUAUUUUCACGAUGAAUAGACGGCUAACAAGUAGUAGUAGUAGUAGUUUAAAAUUCGCCUCCAGUUAACUUGAGAGACCUGCCUUUCUGAUUCACGCACGCAUGAUGAACUGAUGACCAUACCAGAACAUAAUCUAAAACGACCCAUGGCGACGCCGACGGUUUGCAAUUGCUCAACCACAAAAGCAUCAAGCAAGACGAUAUUUCUUCGCAGCGGUUGGACGGCUAACAAUUCCUAGUAUACUUUAAACUUCGCCUGAAGCUAACUUGAGAGGCCUGAUUCUAGGCAUGGGGAUCGAUUGAUUACGCCUGCUGACCAACCAGAUCAGUUGACUAUUAAGUAAGACUCGAGAGUUGAAAGUCCAACCAUGCUUACGGUGGUAGGAUUCAACCCCUAAACCAUAAACUAAAUCUUUUUUUCUUAAACAAACACUAGAUGAUGAUGAUGAUGAUGAUGAUGAUGAUAAAUAUAUUGAAUCGAUAGCCGAUUAGCAGGAGUAGUAAGCCAGGUCCCCGUCUUCUGAAAUCCAAUCCCCAAAUCCAACCAAUUCGACCUGCCUACCUACCUACCUACCAACCUAAAGGCAUGCUUCCAGAAGAAGUAGAAGAAGGUGGGAAAAAAGCGUAUUUUUCCCUGCUCGAAAAGGGGUGGGGGAAAGGAGCUUACGCACGCACCUACCUAGAACCAGAGGCGGCGGCGCAAGUUGGGGAUGGACCUCGCCUCCGGCGCGGCCACUGAGCUCCUGGAUCGAGCCGAGCGGUGCCGGAACCCGCCUCAAUCUGCCACCAACCGAGCAAGAAAGCAAGCAAGCAGGUGCGGCGGCGGUCGGCGAGCGGAGGAGCUGGGAAAGUAGGCGGUGCGGCACGAGGUUGUGGCCGGCGCGCGGGAGCGUAUAUGAAGGGAGGGGGGAGGUGGGUGGAGGGGGCGGAAGUCGUGGGGCGCGGGCAACGGCGUGCGACGGCGAGAGGGAGAGGGGGAGGAGCCCAACCAACCGCGCAAACGGAACAAGAACCCGAGCCGAGCCGAGCCGAGCCGAGCAGGGGAAAGCAGAGGAGAGGAAGUUUCACUGUUGCCUCCCUCCGGGAGAGGGCGAGGCGACGAGGUCGUGGACGUGGACGCGACGCCGGUUGCGGUCCACGCGCGCGCCGGAUCCGGCCGGGAUGCGUCGGCGUGGACGAGGCCACGUGAGGUGAGGUGCGCCAACCGCCGUCCCUCCCGCUGUCAGUUGCCUCCUGCGGCACACGAGAGGAAAACGGCAGCCACCUACCCAACGACUGCCAUGCCCACGUC
rnacentral:lncRNA from 1 species